UACAGAGGUCCCGAGCGUUGUUCGGAUUCCUUGGGCGUCAAGGGUGCGUAGGCGGUCUUCUAAGUUUGAUGUGAAAUUCCGGGGCUCAACCCUGGCAUGGCAUUGAAUACUGGAGGACUAGAGUACCGGAGAGGAAACUGGAAUUUACGGUGUAGCAGUGAAAUGCGUAGAGAUCGUAAGGAAGACCAGUGGCGAAGGCGGCUCACUGGCCCGAUACUGACGCUGAGGCACGAAAGCGUGGGGAGCAAACAGG
rnacentral:rRNA from 1 species